GUAAAAUGGAUGCUGUCCAGGAGGUGGGAGGGUCUGGGAGGGAGGGUCUGCUGCUGAUUGGCUGGAAUGUGUCUGCUGACUGUGAGGUACAGGGUCAAAGUUUACUCAAUGAUGACAUAGGGGGCGGACCGAACAGCGCAUAUGUUCGCCGUCUGUGGCGAACCGUUCGGGACAUCACUAGUUGUGAGCAUCAAAUCCAUUAUAGAAUAUUUAUCUUUUAGAGAAACAUCUGAUUUAAAGGAGAACAAUUUACUGCAGGAAUGCUAAUAUUGUGAAAAAAAAAUCUGUUAAACUGUUAUUUAUCCUAUGAUUCCUAAGAACAUUUGAAGCUUUGCUUGCCUUCUGCAGAGCGUGAUGCUUGUGCAAGGCAUAAUGCCUUGAUAAACUUGUACCAAUACAAUUUCUCUGAUUUUUGUUUUAAUGAUCAGAGAAAUACUAUAAUGUAAAAACUUUUGUUUUUUCAUUCCCAUGAUAAAAUGUCCUUUUAUUUGUUUGUUGUAAAUAAAAAUGUUACAUGUAAACAUAUGUUGAGGAUUUGAAUAUUAAUGAAAUCUUUUAUGAAAAAAAUGAUAAUCGCAAAACGUAAACUUAUGGUCAGUGUUAGUUCUGUGUUGUAUGUGACGUUUAUGACUUUUUGGUGUAAAAAGAGCAAUAUUAUGAAAUGCUGCUUUAUGUUUUAAUGCACAUUAAUAAAACACAUCAAUGUAUAAAUUUUGUUAUAUUGUAGAUAUCUCUAAAGUUAUGUUAGGGGAUCACAACUGUUUCCUUAAAUUGAUUGUCAUUCUAUAACUAAUAGUAACAUAUUUCCAUUUUGUCUGAGUUAUUUUUCCAACAAUAUUUAGAAUAUAUAGUAGUCAUAUCGGUCCUCUCAAACUUGCCUUUUUCUACUGUUUCCCCUUUUCUUCCUCUUACAGUAACUAUUCUUCUUUUCUUCAUUCCUGAUCUAUUUUUCUUUAAAACAUAAAACAAAGUAGGGAAUCUUUUGUCUUAUGUAUUUUUCCUACGCUUGAUAAAUGUUGAAAAAAAGGUGAAGAUAGUAGAGCUUGCCUUAAUCUCCACCUUUGUCAGGAUUGUCAAGCAUAGGAAACAUACAUAAGACAAAUUAUCCCUACUUUGGCUUAUGUUUUAAAGAAAAAUAGAUCAACAACAAAAAGAGAAAGAAAGGGCAAAGCAAUAGAAAAAAGGUUACAUUUAGGUGGCAGAACCAUUUUAACAGAACGUUUUUAAGAAGCACCUAUGACCCAAGCACCUGUCAUGUAAUGUAUUUAUUAGUAGACCAAUCACAGUUCACAAUAUAAAUAAAUAAGAUUACAUUUUAAAGAGCAGGUGGCAUAUCAGUUUUUACAUUUACCAAAUGUACAUACAACUUUCUUUAAGUAAAACAAAGUUUACAACUAUUUGACUUGCCAUUGUUUUAAAAAGAUGAACAUGUAUUUUGCCCUGAGUCACAGUUUAUAUAUAACCUGUUUAUUUCAUGAUAUUAAUCAUGAAAGAGAUACAUUUAAAAACAAAAUAAUUCAGUUUAUUUUGGCAUGUCAGAUCAAGUGUAAAAAUAUCAGUGUAGCAUUUUGUAUACAAUGUUAUUUCUGUAUAUUCUUUCUACAAAUUACACAGACACCUUUUUUUAGAUAAUACAUAGUUUACAGAAAAUGUGAAUAUAAAAAUGUAAAUUGUUUAAUAAACAUACAUGUUUACUACAGAAAUGAGUUUACUAAACAUUAUAUUUAUGCAAAUAAACAUUGUACCUUGUUCUGCCAGUUAUAUUACAUAGCCAAGAGAGUUGUCCGAUUUUUAAAACCUUUUAUAAAGUAUUUACAUGCAAAAUUUAGUUUUACUCAUGUAUGUAAGUGCUUAGUAUUUUGUAAAAUAUACUUCAUUACAUUGGAUACCAUGAAUAGUGAGGUAAGGGGAGAUGACAACUGACAAACAAAAUAACCAUGAUAAUAAAUAAUGAAACCCAAAAAACACUAGCAAAUUCUGUUAUCAGCAAAUCUUGUAAAAUUAGAUUUUUUUUGUUGAUAGAAUAAUAUGUAAAUGAAUGGGCCUCCAGUCUUCUAAACUUCUAUACUUGACAGACAACAUUCUAUCUAAUGAUAAUUCAUUAGUAGUAUAACCCUAUUGGAGAUAUUUGAUUGUUUUAGCAUACAAAGCUACGGAAAAUGCUGGCGCUUUAUAAAUAAUAAAAUAAUAAAUAAUAACAAUAAGGCAUUUUAUCUUUUAGGGUUGUAGUGUUUUUUUGAGUAGGCUUAGUGGUUAUUUUUCUUUUGUUUUUUUAACUAAUCAAGUAUAUUGCCAUUUUAAAGUUCUGCAGGCCGAUGUUAACCAUCCAAGAUAAAACCUACUGAAAAAUUAGACCAAAGUAAUUAAGUUUGGAAAAUCCAUCUUUUGUUUUAAAUCUCAAGUCAUUUAGUUACUAAAUUAAAUCUACUUUUACCUUACCGUUACUUACUUUUUACUGAAUAAAAGCCUUUGCAUUCAAUACAAAUAUAUAGUAACUUUACUGAACUAAUUCCUUUUUCAGUGACUGAAUCUUUUAAAAUGGAAAUUUAAAAGAUUAUCAUAGAAAUAUUAUUCUAGCAAUAUAUACUAGGGUUUGAUUAAACCUCCUUUUAACCAGCUCUAUAGACAUUACAAUACAUAAAACUUUAAAUUAUGUUAUGAUAAAACUAACCAACUAUAAGAAAAAAGAAUAAUUUUGAAGAAAAAAAUGGGUUUUGUUUUUAAUUGUAAAACAUAUAGACUUCAGGGCUAUACAUUAAGUAUUUACAGCAGGGGUAUCCAACACGUAGAACUCCAGAUCUUGUAGAAAUACAAUUCGCAUGAUGACAGCAGGGAUGUCCAAAAGUAGACCCCCAGAUAUUGUAGCUAUGCAACUCCCAUAAUGCUUGCAUUAAAAGAACACUUAUUUUUCAAACAUUUAACCCCUUCAAGACGGAGUCAAUAGUGUACGUUCUGAUCAAAACUAAAAGUAAACAAAAACUGGAAUUUGCGCCAAAUGUCUGUUCAACCGUAAUUCACCGCUGUCACAUUAAGUGCACCCACACUUAUUAUAUAUAAUUUUGUUCAGGAGAAACAGGGCUUUAAUUUAUCAUUAACUAUUCAUAUAUGGAACAUAAUUUAUUAUGAAUAAAAUUUAAAGAAAUCUGAGAAAAUAAGAUUUUUUUUCCGUCUGACAUUUUAGCUGUGAAUGUCAUAAUACUGUUAGGUUUUACUGCAAAAAAAUUGCACAUAUUUGUAAUCAGCAAUGUCUCACGAGUACAACAGUACCCCCCAUUAACAGGUUUUAUGGUGUUUUGGAAAGUUACAGGGUCAAAUAUAGAAUGUCCCAUUUUCAUAUUGAAAUUUGCCAGAUUAGUAAUGUUACCUUUGAAAUGGUGUGGUAGCUCAGGAAUGAGAAUUACCCCCAUAAUGGCAUACCAUUUAAAAAAGUAGACAACCCAAUGUAUUGAAAGUGGGGUAUGUUUAGUCUUUUUUAGUAGCCACUUAGUCACAAACACUGGCCAAAGUUAGCG
rnacentral:lncRNA from 1 species